CCUUCCUCUGUUACACACCUGCAGUCACUCACCACGGGAUUAUGCCCAGGUAAUGCAGAGGAGACGUCAAGAAGAUGGAUUUUCUCAUCUUUAACAGUCGUCACCUGUCUCCGUCGGAUGUUGCCCCUGCUCCUGGUGAGAACGAAAUCGCGAACGACACCGAGACUUGUCAUCAACGUGGAUCAUCGUAUUGUUGGUAUUAUUUCGU